rnacentral:sRNA from 1 species
GCGGCGGCGCGGUUGCGAUUCCGAGCCGUUGAGACGCCUCUGCGGCAGCUGGUGGCGCAGGUGGCUUGCGUGGACGCGGGUAGAGGCGACCGGCCAGCAACCGCAGCGUCGGCGCCCGCGGCCCCGGCAGCAGGCGCGUCGGGACGCCCCGAGGCAUCCUCCCCCGCCCGCGGGCCCGGUAGCUGGGCCCGCAUCCCCGCGCCGCCGCAUCUCCUCGCCGCCUCCCGGGCUUCGGACCCCCGGUCUCGCCCCCGAAACAUGACUCGCGAUUUCAAACCUGGAGACCUCAUCUUCGCCAAGAUGAAAGGUUAUCCCCAUUGGCCAGCUCGAGUAGACGAAGUUCCUGAUGGAGCUGUAAAGCCACCCACAAACAAACUACCCAUUUUCUUUUUUGGAACUCAUGAGACUGCUUUUUUAGGACCAAAGGAUAUAUUUCCUUACUCAGAAAAUAAGGAAAAGUAUGGCAAACCAAAUAAAAGAAAAGGUUUUAAUGAAGGUUUAUGGGAGAUAGAUAACAAUCCAAAAGUGAAAUUUUCAAGUCAACAGAGACAGGGUUUUGUCAUGUUGGCCAGACUGGUCUCAAACUCCUGACUUCAGGUGAUCCACCCACCUCAGCCUCCCAAAAUGCUGGGAUUACAGAUGUGAGCCAUUGCGCGCAGCCUUUAAUUUCUAAAUCCAUAGAAUUGUAUUGGAAUAUGAACCUCAUGAGUUAAAUUA